ACCUAUUUUGUGAGAUUCACCCUAAUGCAUGUAUAAUUAAGUUAAGCUAAUUGUGGCCAUGUGUAGCCACUUUAACAAAAUAUUCCCACGCUUACAUGGACAAUACAAUGAAAACGCCCGUUCGCGUGCCAUUCUCACCCUUAGCACCACAGAUCUUAUUGCAGUCAUAUACAGUACGUUGCAUAUCUGUUAAGUGUUUUAUGGUUUUAUGCUCUUAAUUACAGCUGAUAGACUUCCUUAUGAGGACAUAAAUGUGACUAGCAGCUCUGUUGGGUUUUUAAAAUCAAACAGCUGAUUGAUGACACCUGUCCUGUUUUUCAUCUCUGUCGCUUUCUUCCCAUCUGCUAUCUCAUUCACGCACAAACACAGUUUUGGCCAUCACCCGUGGGUCUCUGAAAUAUGGGGCUCAGUUAUCUGCACCGUGGCUGAAUCUCCCUGCUUAGACUAAACACAGAGCCCUCGCGCGCACACACACACACACACACAUGCACUCACUAUCACAGGCCCUCUCGCAAUUUAUGUCCUUCAGUACAGGAGCUGGCCUCUUACUGCCGCUCAGCACAGAACACUCUGGAGAAUUCACUAAGAAAACAAAAAGAAGGAACGCUGUGAUAACUGGGAGCAGAUCAGAGAAAGAAUGACCUGGCGCUUUGCAGAGGGUGUUAUUGUGUGUUGAGUGAGUGUCUCUCUUGAGCUCUGGUAUUUAUGUGAUUGCUAGUUAUAGGCAGACCUAAUCACACAGAAGAGUUUGGAAAUUCCCUGCAAGCUUUGGAUCACUCUGUAUGUUCAGAGGCUCCCGAUCUCAGUGAUUCCUCCUUGUGUUUUUGAGGAAUUAAGGAGAGAUCUACACCAGCGCUCUCUGUUCAGCAGCUCAUUACCAAAACAGUAGCACUUUGUAUGAAGCCUGUAUCUAUCAAAGUAUUUUGAAUGAAAAAUUAAUUUGUAUUCAAUUGUACCGUGUAAUACUUGCUCAGUCAUGUAAACCCUUUAACGAUUAUAAUGCAUUAUAAAACAUAACAUGAAUUUGCUGUUCAUGUGUUGUUUUUUAAGGGUGUAACCAUUAGAACAUAAACUGAUAAUAAUUUAAGUAAUUAUUAAGUAAUUAGGAAUACAUUGUAUAAGAUAAAUUAGGCCACUUUUUGAUCUCAGUGUUAAAGAGUGGCCCAAUUCUGUUUAUAUUCUGCAUUAUAACACGAUAUACCUGAAUUCACUGUAUAUAUAACCAUAUACAGGCUUUAUAGAGGUGUUUUAUGUUUAUUUUUGUUUUAGUGAUGGUGCAUGGCUGCGUGUAGCAUAAGCUGACUUUCCAUACCUUUUGGCUUUUCACAUCUACCUGGCUUGAAACUGCGUUCAGCCAUGAGUGAGAAUGAGCACGAGAUAUUGCUUCAUUGUUCUAGUAUGAACAUUUUUCAUCCUCAUUAAACUCAUUGAGGCAUGUCUAUGGAGGGAGAGAGAGAAAGAGCAAGCGUGGGGCGGCCAGGCUUCACAUGGGCUGUAAGGACCCGACUGUAUUUUCCAGUCGCUCAUUUUGCUGUCCAGAUUUUAAAUCUGCCCUAUAACAUGAGACAUUUAUCAUAGUAUAUACUUAAAUACUUUUAAAAAAUGGGUUGUUUCAUGUUAUAUGUUAUAAUUCUUAGUGUUAAUUGGUAGUAUUGCCAUCCAGACUUGUUACUAAAGACCUUGACGCAACUGUGAGAACACUGCCAGAGAUGUCUAGUACAAACAUGCAUACACAGAAAUCUAUAUUUAUAAAUGUUGAUGGUUAGAACUAGAUUAGUUGAACAAUUUGCACAAGUGUCUGUGAAAGAGAAUAUAUCCGUCUGCACAAAAUGGCUGUCUGCUAUUGAAAAAAGAAUAAAACAAAAGAAUGAACUAGUAACACUAACAGUUGUCUUGAAAUUAAAAUUAAAGAAAAAGCUAAGCCUUUCUAAGUUAACGAAGAUUUUCAAAAUUGUUUCCAUGUGGUUGAUUAUGUGCUGUUGCUAUCUUCUUUGCAUCUCGUUUGAUUUUGAUUCCAACUCAUCUUACACUUUUGGGACUGUUUGUUUUUGUUUUGCAGUCCUUGAUAGUGUGCGUGACUGCAAUCCUGAAAACUGCAGUGUGUUUUAUAUUACAAAACAUGUAUGUCUGUUCUUGGGGCAGGAGAAACAUCCAUGACUGUGUUUCGAGUGGACUGAAGGAUGCCAAGACCUUUGCUUGAGAACUGUGAUCCUAAUAGCACUCUGGGUUGCUGGGAAGUCAUUGUUAUUUUAGAUUAGCAUCAUUCGUGUGUUUGCAGGAGAUAAUAACCGUGUUGUGCUGACUGUUUUGGUCAGAUGAUCAGCAUCACUCGACACGAAGCCUCAUUUGUUGUUCGUAGUAAUUUAUUGCACGCAUAAACACAUUUAAAAACUUGAUGGCAUCCUAAGUAGAUUGCCUAUUAUAUUGUUUACUUAUUAACUCAUCUUGAAUUGUCAUUAUUUACCCAAACGGUCCGUCAACACGUCCACAUUUUUCAUGCAUUACUUCCCUCCACUUAGUUUGAUGGACUGAGACUGUUUAAAGCAUGAAACCACAUAAAACAUCCGCUGAAGGAUUUGGCAAGUUUAUGUCUGACUUUCCAUUCUCCAUCCGAGUGAAUUCGGUGCCAAACGAAGCUAGUCUGCUUUAAAAAGUGCCACAAAUAAAAACUUGCCUGUCGUUCAUCAGCAACCAAAGCCAGGUCAUGUGACCUUUUACUGUUUAUAACAUGUUUGUUUUAUAUUUAAACCUUUAAACCUUAAUUGACACAAUAAGAGGUCAAACCCAAACCAGGCCUGCUGUGCUUGGUUGGCUGCCGGAGUCCAGUUAGAUGAAGCACCAGUUCAGACGCCUUUAUCAAAUGUGUAUUAGAAUCUUUUGAGUGUCUGAGUAGAAUGAAGCAGCAUUAUUCAGGACCUAAUCUUCAUUUCGACUCAGAACUGUGGUGUAUUUCUAGACUCUUAUAAAAGUUCUGUCUGCCUACUUGUAGUUGGCACUCCUGUUUUUUCCUCUGGAUUUUGUCCUAAGAGAGUGUCAGACCUCAGUGUCACCCCAUCCUCAUCAUGCUUUCUUGGCUCCAGCAACCCUGCCUUCUGUCACAGUAAGGGUCUAUCUUUUCUAAUGAUUCAUGCUCUUUUUCUACGCAGUACACAGAAACACUGUCAAAAAGGAUUCUCACCCUUUCCCCUUUAAUUUAAUGAGGAAAAAUAAAUGGAAAAAUGUCUACUUUAACCCAAAGCUGUCAUUUUUUUCUUCUUUUUUUUCUUUAUUUUAUUCUCAUAUUCACAAAAAAGACUGCCUUAUGUAUGUGUGGAAAAGAUAAAUGAUUUCUGUAAAAAGAAAAUGAAAAAUAACAAAAAGGUUUAUUGUAUUCAGCUUUUGCCUUUGUAUGUAUAUAAACUCAUUCAUUCAGUC